rnacentral:rRNA from 1 species
CCUACGGGAGGCAGCAGUGGGGGAUAUUGCACAAUGGGGGAAACCCUGAUGCAGCGACGCCGCGUGUAGGAAGACGGUCCUCUGGAUUGUAAACUACUGUCCUCAGGGACGAAGAUGACGGUACUUGGGGAGGAAGCUCCGGCAAACUACGUGCAAGCAGCCGCGGUAAUACGUAGGGAGCGAGCGUUGUCCGGAUUUACUGGGUGUAAGGGGAGCGUAGGCGGGGAUGCAAGUUGGGUGUUAGACCUACGGGUUCAACUGGUAGUCGCACUCAAAACUGCAGCUCUUGAGUGAAGUAGAGGCAGGCGGAAUUCCUAGUGUAGCGGUGAAAUGCGUAGAUAUUAGGAGGAACACCAGUGGCGAAGGCGGCCUGCUGGGCUUUAACUGACGCUGAGGCUCGAAAGUGUGGGGAGCAAACAGGAUUAGAUACCCGGGUAGUC